AUUGAACGCUGGCGGCAUGCCUUACACAUGCAAGUCGAACGGCAGCGCGGGGCAACCUGGCGGCGAGUGGCGAACGGGUGAGUAAUAUAUCGGAACAUACCCUAGAGUGGGGGAUAACGUAGCGAAAGUUACGCUAAUACCGCAUACGCACUAAGGUGGAAAGUGGGGGAUUCGCAAGAACCUCAUGCUCAUGGAGUGGCCGAUAUCUGAUUAGCUAGUUGGUGAGGUAAAGGCUCACCAAGGCGACGAUCAGUAGCUGGUUUGAGAGAACGACCAGCCACACUGGAACUGAGACACGGUCCAGACUCCUACGGGAGGCAGCAGUGGGGAAUUUUGGACAAUAGGGGGGCAACCCUGAUCCAGCAAUGCCGCGUGAGUGAAGAAGGCCUCGG
rnacentral:rRNA from 1 species